GGCGUGGGGCGUGUCUUUCAGGUGACGCCAGACAGUUCGUGACGUGGGGCGUGUCUUUCAGGUGACGCCAGACAGUUUGUGGCGUGGGGCGUGUCUUUCAGAUGACGCCAGACAGUUCGUGGCGUGGGGCAUGCCUUUCAGGUGACGCCAGACAGUUCGUGGCGUGGGGCGUGCCUUUCAGGUGACGCCAGACAGUUCGUGGCGUGGGGCGUGUCUUUCAGAUGACGCUAGACAGUUCGUGGCGUGGGGCAUGCCUUUCAGGUGACGCCAGACAGUUCGUGGCGUGGGGCGUGUCUUUCAGGUGACGCCAGACAUUUAUUGGCGUGGGGCGUGUCUUUCAGGUGACGCCAGACAGUUUGUGGCGUGGGGCGUGUCUUUCAGGUGACGCCAGACAGUUCAUGGCGUGGGGCGUAUCUUUCAGGUGACGCCAGACAGUUCGUGGCGUGGGGCGUGUCUUUCAGGUGAUGCCAGACAGUUCGUGACGUGGGGCGUGUCGUGUCUUUCUGGUGAUGGCCAGACAGUGUGUGAAGUGUGGCGUGUCUUUCAGGUGACGCCAGACAGUUCGUGGCGUGGGGCGUGUCUUUCAGGUGACGCCAGAUAGUUCGUGGCGUGGGGCGUGUCUUUCAGGUGACGCCAGACAGUUCGUGACGUGGGGCGUGUCGUGUCUUUCUGGUGAUGGCCAGACAGUGUGUGAAGUGUGGCGUGUCUUUCAGGUGACGCCAGACAGUUUGUGGCGUGGGGCGUGUCUUUCAGGUGACGCCAGACAGUGUGUGAAGUGUGGCGUGUCUUUCAGGUGAAGCCAGACAGUUCGUGGCGUGGUGCGUGUCUUUCAGGUGACGCCAGACAUUUAUUGGCGUGGGGCGUGUCUUUCAGGUGACGCCAGACAGUUUGUGGCGUGGGGCGUGUCUUUCAGGUGACGCCAGACAGUUCAUGGCGUGGGGCGUGUCUUUCAGGUGACGCCAGACAGUUCGUGGCGUGGGGCGUGCCUUUCAGGUGACGCCAGACAGUUCUUGGCGUGGGGCGUGUCUUUCAGGUGACGCCAGACAGUUCGUGGCGUGGGGCGUGUCUUUCAGGUGACGCCAGACAGCGUGGGCCGUGUGUUGUGUCUUUCCGGUGUAGUUGAUUUGCUCACCAUCCUCUACAUUGUUGUCAUUU
ensembl:lncRNA